GAAUGAUUCAAAUCUUAGCGCGAAAGUCCCAAGUGUGAUGUAAAAGAUUGCUAUACUAAAAUAUAUUGCAGAUGAAUUUACAUAGAAAGGAAGUGAAAAAAAUUCAGCAAUACAUAAGGUUAAUUAUAUACUGUAUGACUAGAUGACACUGCUAGUACAAAACUAUAUUUGGAUGAACAUGUGCUAGUACUCAUCUUCAUCCCUUGAUUUCCCAAGCACCCUUCUAAGAAAAGAAGCAACAGCACCAAGAACCAAGAAGAGCACCAGUGUAUCAAAUCCACCUCCAAUGCCAACGGCAACACCAGGCCCUGGUGCGAAGAACGAAAAAGGUGACCAACCCCAUCCACCAUAGAAUGGAAUACCAUAGCCAUAUCCAUAUCCACCUACUAGAGGAGGAGCAACUGGUGGAUUCACAUAUAUAUUUGUUCUUGAAUUAUUGAUCCUUGGUGAGGAAGAGCGAGGAGGAGAUGAUGGUCGAAAAGCCUGACCACCAAUUCUGCCACCAGUCUUAGCAGCUGAUGCUGGAUCCACUGAGCCCAGUGUCAAAACCCCAACUGCCACUGCAGCUAAAGCCAACUUUUCAAAUUUAUUUUCACUUUUCCUCAACGAGUCUUGUGGGUCAUCUGGGUUGUGUUUGCACAAGAUUUUAGUGCUAUGUACAGGGAAGAAUGUGCUGUAUUUUCUUGGUUUGUAUGUUGAAGAAAGAGGACUAAUCAAGAAACUUUGCUGUAGAAUAGCUAAAGACAUUUUUUUUUUUGCACUACAAAUUGAAGCUCAAGACUCAAGAGUUGAGAAAUGAAGUUUUGAGACUG
rnacentral:misc_RNA from 1 species